UACGUAGGGUGCAAGCGUUGUCCGGAAUUAUUGGGCGUAAAGAGCUCGUAGGUGGCCUGUCGCGUCGGCUGUGAAAACUCGGGGCUCAACUCCGAGCUCGCAGUCGAUACGGGCAGGCUAGAGUUCGGCAGGGGAGACUGGAAUUCCUGGUGUAGCGGUGAAAUGCGCAGAUAUCAGGAGGAACACCGGUGGCGAAGGCGGGUCUCUGGGCCGAUACUGACACUGAGGAGCGAAAGCGUGGGGAGCGAACAGG
rnacentral:rRNA from 1 species